UACGGAGGGUGCAAGCGUUGCUCGGAAUCACUGGGCGUAAAGGGUGCGUAGGCGGGUCUUUAAGUCAGGGGUGAAAUCCUGGAGCUCAACUCCAGAACUGCCUUUGAUACUGAAGAUCUUGAGUUCGGGAGAGGUGAGUGGAACUGCGAGUGUAGAGGUGAAAUUCGUAGAUAUUCGCAAGAACACCAGUGGCGAAGGCGGCUCACUGGCCCGAUACUGACGCUGAGGCACGAAAGCGUGGGGAGCAAACAGG
rnacentral:rRNA from 1 species